CUGGGGCUGUGUUUCAUCUCCACGUUGUGCCGCUGACUCAGUGCCUCUCAGCUGACCUGGAUAUGGAGAAAAAGCAGCGACUCUUGAGCACAGACAGCUCCAGCUCCCUCUCGCUCCAUUUCAGCGAAGGCACUCGCCCUCAAGUUGCCCAUGGUGGUUGUUGUGCUGAGAGCAAGCUGCUUCCACAAUCGACCUGAAGAAACCCCUUAAAAGUGCACGCCUGCCCCGUCUUGUGACCGAUAUGCUUCAUCAUCUCCUUUUGUACUUUGUUCAGAGGUUGUUUGCAUCAUGACAGACCUUUCACACACGCUGCCGCCCUCAGAUCUCAGAUGGUUUCUUUGCAUGCACCAUAAUCGGGCACUGAUGCUCCCUUUGUCGAGCUCCUCUGAAUGCUCAGCAGCAGCACACAGCCUACCACACCCUGCAGGGCUGCAGCCAGCAAGAAACGGAAAGUGAAAUGUCCUGAGUCUGCUGCAUGCAGCUGUGCCUUCUGCUCAGUGCGCCGCUUGGAUUCCAAAGUGCCGCUGCUGCCAAUCCGUAUCUUUGUCAGAACUGAAAUAAAGGCAACCCUAACAAGU